CCUACGGGAGGCAGCAGUGGGGAAUAUUGGACAAUGGGCGCAAGCCUGAUCCAGCAAUGCCGCGUGAGUGAUGAAGGCCUUAGGGUUGUAAAGCUCUUUUACCAGGGAUGAUAAUGACAGUACCUGGAGAAUAAGCUCCGGCUAACUCCGUGCCAGCAGCCGCGGUAAUACGGAGGGAGCUAGCGUUGUUCGGAAUUACUGGGCGUAAAGCGUACGUAGGCGGUUAUUCAAGUCAGAGGUGAAAGCCCGGGGCUCAACCCCGGAACUGCCUUUGAAACUAGGUAGCUAGAAUCUUGGAGAGGUCAGUGGAAUUCCGAGUGUAGAGGUGAAAUUCGUAGAUAUUCGGAAGAACACCAGUGGCGAAGGCGACUGACUGGACAAGUAUUGACGCUGAGGUACGAAAGCGUGGGGAGCAAACAGGAUUAGAUACCCUGGUAGUCCACGCCGUAAACGAUGAUAACUAGCUGUCCGGUCACUUGGUGACUGGGUGGCGCAGCUACGACAUAAGUUAAUACGUCCGUCGGGUAGGUACGGUCGCGAGAAUAAACUAACAAGAAGUAGUACGCGUGAGACGNGCGACGACGACGACGAGGAGGAGG
rnacentral:rRNA from 1 species